rnacentral:rRNA from 1 species
AGGAUAAACGCUGGCGGCGUGCCUAACACAUGCAAGUCGAACGUCCUACGCAAGUAGGGAGUGGCGGACGGGUGAGUAACACGUGGGCAAUCUACCUUUCGGUGAGGAAUACCGGCGAGAAAUCGCCGACAAUACCGCAUACGCUUCGCAAGAAGCAAAGUCGCAAGACGCCGGAGGAGGAGCCUGCGCCCGAUUAGCUGGUUGGUGGAGUAAUGGUCUACCAAGGCGACGAUCGGUAGCUGGUCUGAGAGGAUGAUCAGCCACACUGGGACUGAGACACGGCCCAGACUCCUACGGGAGGCAGCAGUGGGGAAUCUUGCACAAUGGGCGAAAGCCUGAUGCAGCAACGCCGCGUGAGGGACGAAGGCUUUCUGAGUUGUAAACCUCUUUCAGCAGGGACGAUUGUGACGGUACCUGCAGAAGAAGCCCCGGCAACUACGUGCCAGCAGCCGC